rnacentral:rRNA from 1 species
GGUUCGAUUCUGGCUCAGAUUGAACGCCAUGGGAUGCUUUACAUGUGUCGAACGGCAGCACGGACUUCGGUCUGGUGGCGAGUGGCGAACGGGUGAGUAAUGUAUCGGAACGCCUAGUAGCGGGGAUAACUACGCGAAAAGCGUAGCUAAUACUGCAUACGCCUUCGGGGAAAGCGGGGGACCUUCGGGCCUGCAUUAUUAGGAGCGGCCGAUAUCGAUUAGCUAGUUGGUGGGUAACGGCUCACCAGUGUGACGAUCCGUAGCUGGUUUGAGAGAUGACCGCCACACCGGGACUGGAGACACGGCCCAGACUCCUACGGGAGGCAGCAGUGGGAACGGACAAUGGGGAACCCUGAUCCAGCCAUCCCGCGUGAUGAAGGCCUUCGGGUUGUAAAGCACUUUUGGCAGGAGUAAGAAACGGCACGGGAUAAUACCCCAGGCAACUGACGGUACCUGCAGAAUAAGCACCGGCUAACUACGUGCCAGCAGCCGCGGUAAUACGUAGGGUGCAAGCAAGACCGGAAUUACUGGGCGUAAAGCGUGCGCAGGCGGCUCGAAAGAAAGAUGUGAAAUCCCAGAGCUUUUAACUUUGGAACUGCAUUUUUAAUCAAUGAGCUAUGUCAGAGGGAGGGGAAUUCGCGUGUAGCAGUGAAAUGCGUAGAUAUGCGGAGGAACACCGAUGGCGAAGGCAGCCUCCUGGGAUAACACUGACGCUCAUGCACGAAAGCGUGGGGAGCAACAGGAUUAGAUACUCCUAUAGUCCACGCCCUAAACGAUGUCAACGUUGGGGCCUUCGCCUGGUAGCGCAGCUAACGCGUGGAAGUUGACCGCCUGGGGAGUACGGUCGCAAGAUUAAAACUCAAAGGACUUCCGGAUGGGACCUGCACAAGCGGUGGAUGAUGUGGAUUAAUUCGAUGCAACGCGAAAAACCUUACCUACCCUUGACAUGUCUGAAUCCCGAAGAGAUUGGUGAGUGCUCGCAAGAGAACCGGAACACAGGUGCUGCAUGGCUGUCGUCAGCUCGUGUCGAGAUGUUGGGUUAAGUCCCGCAACGAGCGCAACCUUGUCAUUAGUUACGCGAAAGGGCACUCUAAUGAGAUCGCUGUGAUAAACGGAGGAAGGUGGGAUGACGUCAAGUCCUCAUGGCUCCUUAUGGGUAGGGCUUCACACGUCAUACAAUGGUCGGGACAGAGGGUCGCCAACCCGCGAGGGGGAGCCAAUCCCAGAAACCCGAUCGUAGUCCGAUCGCAGUCUGCAACCUGACUGGUGAAGUCGGAAUCGCUAGUAAUCGUGGAUCAGCAUGUCGCGGUAACAUGCUCCCGGUCUGUACACACCGCCCGUCACACCAUGGGAGUGGUUUUACCAGAAGUAGUUAGCCUAACCGUAAGGAGGCGAUUACCACGGUAGGAUUCAUGACUGUGAAGUCGAAGCCAGUGGUGUAC